UGAAUUUGUAUGUUAGUAAGAGUUUGAAUAGUAGCAGAAGGAGUGCUAAAGAGAAGGAUAAUGAGAAGUCUGUUUCGCCAGGGGUUUGGGGAUCGAGGUUGAGGUCAAGAGGGAGAAAUGUAGGGUUUGGGGCUAAGAGUGAUGAGAGUGGUCACCUGAGUAGGAGGAGGAAGCUUUUUAGGGAAAUGGAUGAGGAUGCUGAGAGUGAGGUUGGUAUGGAGAAGGGAUCGGAAGGUGGGGAUUUGGUGGUUUCGAAAGCAGAGAAGCUGGACAGGUUCAAAGAGUUGAAUGAUUUGGGGGACGAACCAGAGAAGAGUGGGCAGGAAGAGGAAAUGCAUGAAAAGGAGGAAGAGGUGGGGACCCGUGGGAUGAAGGAGGAGAGUGGGAGGGGGGAGGAAUUGGAGGUAGUGCGCAAUGAACGUGAGGACAGUAAGACGAUUCCAGAGAGUGUAGUGGGCAAUGAAGGUGAGGACAGUAAGAUGAUUCCGGAAAGUGUACUGGGCGUUGAAAACGUAACAGAAGUAGUUGAGGCUGAUGCUAGAGUGCUAAUUGAGGAAGAGGAGACAAAAGAAUUAAGUGAUAAGGAGCUAAAGGAGGACUGCAUUGGUGAUGAAAAUGUGGAAGUGAUGGAUACAACAGAAAAGAGUGAUAAAGAAAGGAUGCAGUUUGAGGAUAGAGAUGAAAGAGAAAAUCAUCAAGAUGGUGGAGAACAUGAUGGAGAAGAUCAUCGAGAUGGUGGAGAACAUGAUGAAGUAGAAGAUCAUCAAAUUGGUGGAGAACAUAAUGAAGGAGAAGAUCAUCCAGAUGGUCAUCGAGAUGGUGGAGAACAUGAUGAAGUAGGAUAGAGAUGAAAGAGAAAAUCAUCAAGAUGGUGGAGAACAUGAUGGAGAAGAUCAUCGAGAUGGUGGAGAACAUGAUGGAGAAGAUCAUCGAGAUGGUGGAGAACAUGAUGGAGAAGAUCAUCGAGAUGGUGGAGA
rnacentral:lncRNA from 1 species